rfam:Stx2-converting phage 86 DNA, complete genome.
UAAGGAGCACACCAUGCAAUAUGCCAUUGCAGGGUGGCCUGUUGCUGGCUGCCCUUCCG